GAUGAACGCUGGCGGCGUGCCUAAUACAUGCAAGUCGAGCGAACAGACGAGGAGCUUGCUCCUCUGACGUUAGCGGCGGACGGGUGAGUAACACGUGGAUAACCUACCUAUAAGACUGGGAUAACUUCGGGAAACCGGAGCUAAUACCGGAUAAUAUAUUGAACCGCAGGGUUCAAUAGUGAAAGACGGUUUUGCUUUCACUUAUAAAUGGAUCCGCGCCGCAUUAGCUAGUUGGUAAGGUAACGGCUUACCAAGGCAACGAUGCGUAGCCGACCUGAGAGGGUGAUCGGCCACACUGGAACUGAGACACGGUCCAGACUCCUACGGGAGGCAGCAGUAGGGAAUCUUCCGCAAUGGGCGAAAGCCUGACGGAGCAACGCCGCGUGAGUGAUGAAGGUCUUCGGAUCGUAAAACUCUGUUAUUAGGGAAGAACAAAUGUGUAAGUAACUAUGCACGUCUUGACGGUACCUAAUCAGAAAGCCACGGCUAACUACGUG
rnacentral:rRNA from 1 species